rnacentral:rRNA from 1 species
GUGAACGCUAGCGGUGCGCCUAACACAUGCAAGUCGAGUGGGUUUAGACCCACGGCGAACGGCUGCGUAACACGUUGGUACCUGCCCCGUACUCAGGGAUAACCCGCCGAAAGGCGGGCUAAUACCGGAUGGUCUCGAAAGAGUAAAGCUUUCGCGGUACGGGAGGGGCCUGCGGCCUAUCAGCUAGUUGGUAAGGUAACGGCUUACCAAGGCUAUGACGGGUAGCUGGAUUGAGAGAUCGACCAGCCAGAAUGGGACUGAGACACGGCCCAUACUCCUACGGGAGGCAGCAGUGAGGAAUCUUCCGCAAUGGGGGCAACCCUGACGGAGCGACACCGCGUGGAGGAUGAAACCCUUUUAGGGCGUAAACUCCUGUUCUGAGGGAGGAAAUUUUUGACUGUACCUCAGGAGAAAGCACCGGCAAAUUCUGU